ensembl:rRNA 5S_rRNA 5S ribosomal RNA
GUCUGUAGUAGUAUCACCAUGGGCUGUGAUUUUAUUGGAUCCCACAAGCUAAGCAGGGUCAGGUCUGGUCAGUAUAUUGAAAGAGAGACCAAAGAAAUCCCAGUUGCUGCAGGAA